rnacentral:tRNA from 1 species
UCUGGGUGUGGCGCAGUUGGGAGCGCGGGAGUUUCGGGUACUCCAGGUCGCUGGUUCAAUCCCAGCCACUCAGAU